GGGAGAGGAAUACGUAGAAAUCUACCCCUGAGACCGGGAUAGCGUCGGGAAACUGGCAGUAAUACCGGAUAAUGUCUUAGGACCAAAGGCGUGAUUCCACUUGGGGAUGAGUCUACGCCCUAUUAGCUAGUUGGUGGGGUAAUGGCCUACCAAGGCGAUGAUGGGUAGCGGGUGUGAGAGCAUGAUCCGCCUCACUAGGACUGAGAACUGCCCAGACACCUACGGGUGGCUGCAGUCGAGAAUCUUUGUCAAUGGACGAAAGUCUGAGCAAGCGACGCCGCGUGCGGGAUGAAGGCCUUCGGGUUGUAAACCGCUGUCGUAGGGGAACAAAUGUACGGGGGUACUCCCCUGUAUUUGAGUGAUCCUAGGAGGAAGGAGAGGCUAAGCUCGUGCCAGCAGCCGCGGUAAGACGAGCUCUCCAAACGUUAUUCGGUAUCACUGGGCUUAAAGAGUUCGUAGGCGGCCUAGCAGGUCAGGUGUGAAAUCCCACAGCUCAACUGUGGAAUAGCGCUUGAAACCGUUAGGCUUGAGGGAGAUAGAGGUAGGCGGAACAGAUGGUGGAGCGGUGAAAUGCGUUGAUAUCAUCUGGGACACCGGUGGCGAAAGCGGCCUACUGGGUCUUUUCUGACGCUGAGGAACGAAAGCUAGGGUAGCGAACGGGAUUAGAUACCCCGGUAGUCCUAGCCGUAAACGAUGAGCACUAGUCCGAGGGAACCCUCACAUUUUCUCGGACGUAGCAAAAGUGCUAAGUACCCCGCCUGGGGAGUAUGGUCGCAAGGCUGAAACUCAAAGGAAUCGACGGGGGCUCACACAAGCGGUGGAGCAUGUGGCUUAAUUCGAGGCUACGCGAAGAACCUUACCUAGGUUUGACAUGCUUGGGAAUCUGCCUGAAAGGGCGGAGUGCCUAAUCGGGAACCCAUGCACAGGUGCUGCAUGGCUGUCGUCAGCUCGUGUCGUGAGAUGUCGGGUUAA
rnacentral:rRNA from 1 species